rnacentral:rRNA from 1 species
GACGAACGCUGGCGGCGUGCCUAAUACAUGCAAGUUGAGCGACGAAGAUUGGUGCUUGCACCAAUUUGAAGAGCAGCGAACGGGUGAGUAACGCGUGGGGAAUCUGCCUUUGAGCGGGGGACAACAUUUGGAAACGAAUGCUAAUACCGCAUAACAACUUUAAACAUAAGUUUUAAGUUUGAAAGAUGCAAUUGCAUCACUCAAAGAUGAUCCCGCGUUGUAUUAGCUAGUUGGUGAGGUAAAGGCUCACCAAGGCGAUGAUACAUAGCCGACCUGAGAGGGUGAUCGGCCGCAUUGGGACUGAGACACGGCCCAAACGCCUACGGGAGGCAGCAGUAGGGAAGCUUCGGCAAGGGACGAAAGUCUGACCGAGCAACGCCGCGUGAGUGAAGAAGGUUUUCGGAUCGUAAAACUCUGUUGGUAGAGAAGAACGUUGGUGAGAGUGGAAAGCUCAUCAAGUGACGGUAACUACCCAGAAAGGGACGGCUAACUACGUG